rnacentral:rRNA from 1 species
ACGGCUCAGUAACACGUAUCCAACCUGCCGAUAACUCGGGGAUAGCCUUUCGAAAGAAAGAUUAAUAUCCGAUAGUAUAUUAAAACCGCAUGGUUUUACUAUUAAAGAAUUUCGGUUAUCGAUGGGGAUGCGUUCCAUUAGUUUGUUGGCGGGGUAACGGCCCACCAAGACUACGAUGGAUAGGGGUUCUGAGAGGAAGGUCCCCCACAUUGGAACUGAGACACGGUCCAAACUCCUACGGGAGGCAGCAGUGAGGAAUAUUGGUCAAUGGACGAGAGUCUGAACCAGCCAAGUAGCGUGAAGGAUGACUGCCCUAUGGGUUGUAAACUUCUUUUAUAUGGGAAUAAAGUAUUCCACGUGUGGGAUUUUGUAUGUACCAUAUGAAUAAGGAUCGGCUAACUCCGUGCCAGCAGCCGCGGUAAUACGGAGGAUCCGAGCGUUAUCCGGAUUUAUUGGGUUUAAAGGGAGCGUAGGUGGAUUGUUAAGUCAGUUGUGAAAGUUUGCGGCUCAACCGUAAAAUUGCAGUUGAAACUGGCAGUCUUGAGUACAGUAGAGGUGGGCGGAAUUCGUGGUGUAGCGGUGAAAUGCUUAGAUAUCACGAAGAACUCCGAUUGCGAAGGCAGCUCACUAGACUGCAACUGACACUGAUGCUCGAAAGUGUGGGUAUCAAACAGGAUUAGAUACCCUGGUAGUCCACACAGUAAACGAUGAAUACUCGCUGUUUGCGAUAUACAGUAAGCGGCCAAGCGAAAGCAUUAAGUAUUCCACCUGGGGAGUACGCCGGCAACGGUGAAACUCAAAGGAAUUGGCGG